rnacentral:rRNA from 1 species
AGUAACCUGCCUUGGAGUGGGGAAUAACAGCUGGAAACAGCUGCUAAUACCGCAUAAUGCAGUUGGGUCGCAUGGCUCUGACUGCCAAAGAUUUAUCGCUCUGAGAUGGACUCGCGUCUGAUUAGCUAGUUGGCGGGGUAACGGCCCACCAAGGCGACGAUCAGUAGCCGGACUGAGAGGUUGGCCGGCCACAUUGGGACUGAGACACGGCCCAGACUCCUACGGAAGGCAGCAG